GGCGUCCUAAUACAUGCAAGUCGAGCGGACAGAAGGGAGCUUGCUCCCGGAUGUUAGCGGCGGACGGGUGAGUAACACGUGGGUAACCUGCCUGUAAGACUGGGAUAACUCCGGGAAACCGGAGCUAAUACCGGAUAGUUCCUUGAACCGCAUGGUUCAAGGAUGAAAGACGGUUUCGGCUGUCACUUACAGAUGGACCCGCGGCGCAUUAGCUAGUUGGUGAGGUAACGGCUCACCAAGGCGACGAUGCGUAGCCGACCUGAGAGGGUGAUCGGCCACACUGGGACUGAGACACGGCCCAGACUCCUACGGGAGGCAGCAGUAGGGAAUCUUCCGCAAUGGACGAAAGUCUGACGGAGCAACGCCGCGUGAGUGAUGAAGGUUUUCGGAUCGUAAAGCUCUGUUGUUAGGGAAGAACAAGUGCAAGAGUAACUGCUUGCACCUUGACGGUACCUAACCAGAAAGCCACGGCUAACUACGUGCCAGCAGCCGCGGUAAUACGUAGGUGGCAAGCGUUGUCCGGAAUUAUUGGGCGUAAAGGGCUCGCAGGCGGUUUCUUAAGUCUGAUGUGAAAGCCCCCGGCUCAACCGGGGAGGGUCAUUGGAAACUGGGAAACUUGAGUGCAGAAGAGGAGAGUGGAAUUCCACGUGUAGCGGUGAAAUGCGUAGAGAUGUGGAGGAACACCAGUGGCGAAGGCGACUCUCUGGUCUGUAACUGACGCUGAGGAGCGAAAG
rnacentral:rRNA from 1 species